GGAUAUAGCUCAGUGGUAGAGUGAGUGCUUAGCAUGCAUGAGGUCCUGGGUUCAAUUUCCAGUACCUCCA
rnacentral:tRNA from 1 species